rnacentral:rRNA from 1 species
AAUGCGCGUCAGAAUGUGAACUGCAGGACACAUGAACAUCGACACGUUGAACGCAAAUGGCGCAUCGGCUCGCCUCAAAACGACCGAUGCACACAUCCUUGAGUGUCUACUGAUUUCGAAAUAUCCUCAUGGUUUGAACUCGACUACAACAUGCCACGUGGGCCCCCCGCCGGGGCCGAGGUGGACGUUGUGCAUAACAGCGUGCUGGGCGUGGCUUCGCGCCGCCCCAGGGCGUUGGUCCUGGUAGAGUGAUGGAUACAGAGCGGGCGACCGCGUCGCUGGCCUGCACGCGCACUUACGCGCUGGUCCCUGGUCGUUAGAUGUUGCGCCCGUAGCCUUCCGAGGUCUGCAAGCGCCAGAUGCUUCCGACUGCUCACGGGGACCGCCGUUCGUGCGGUCGGUGCCUGCAAGGUACUGGCGGCCGCGGUUCGCUCCGACACAAAGCCUCACCUCCGCUGGACGCCCGGGUGCGCGACUCGGUGGAGUCGCUGUGCCGCGCCGCUGCGCGCCCUGCGCCGUGCUCUGCGCUACGGAUCUCUCGCGCGCGCUCUCGACGCGCCCUCGCCCUCUCCCGCACCGUGGGAAGUGCAACGUUGCCACGUGGGCCCCCCCCGUCUGGGGCCGUGGUGGAAAGCGUUGUGCGCAGGCUGACCGACAUCGGCCGACCCAUCCCGCCAAGAGCGGUGCCUCGUGUGGAGAACGGGAGGAGAGUGUCGCUCGCUCGAGCGUCGCCGACGACGAUGCCGUCAGGUGGAGUGCGCGCGCGCCGGGUGGCGUGGCGGGCUGUGGCCGCACCUCGCGGGACCCAAAACUGUCAUGUAGACCUCAGGUGAUGUGUGGUAACCCCCGGAAUUUAAGCAUAUUAAUAAGGGGAGGAAGAGAAACCAACCGGGAUUC